AGCGAACGCUGGCGGCAGGCUUAACACAUGCAAGUCGAGCGGGCAUCCUUGUGGUGUCAGCGGCAGACGGGUGAGUAACGCGUGGGAACGUGCCCUUCGGUUCGGAAUAACUCAGGGAAACUCGAGCUAAUACCGGAUACGUGCGAGAGCAGAAAGGUUUAUCUGCCGAAGGAUCGGCCCGCGUCUGAUUAGCUAGUUGGUGAGGUUAUGGCUCACCAAGGCGACGAUCAGUAGCUGGUCUGAGAGGAUGAUCAGCCACACUGGGACUGAGACACGGCCCAGACUCCUACGGGAGGCAGCAGUGGGGAAUAUUGGACAAUGGGGGCAACCCUGAUCCAGCCAUGCCGCGUGAGUGAUGACGGCCUUAGGGUUGUAAAGCUCUUUUCUCCGGGACGAUAAUGACGGUACCGGAGGAAUAAGCCCCGGCUAACUUCGUG
rnacentral:rRNA from 1 species